rnacentral:rRNA from 1 species
UACGGAGGGAGCUAGCGUUGUUCGGAAUUACUGGGCGUAAAGCGCACGUAGGCGGCGCGGCAAGUCAGGGGUGAAAUCCCGGGGCUCAACCUCGGAACUGCCCUUGAAACUGCAGUGCUAGAAUCUUGGAGAGGCGAGUGGAAUUCCGAGUGUAGAGGUGAAAUUCGUAGAUAUUCGGAAGAACACCAGUGGCGAAGGCGACUCGCUGGACAAGUAUUGACGCUGAGGUGCGAAAGCGUGGGGAGCAAACAGG